rnacentral:lncRNA from 1 species
GCCCUCGGUGCGACGUCCACCACGGGUGCUAGCGGUGUGGGACCCUGGGUCUCCCUCGAAGCUGUCGCCUGCUGAAGUAGGAGGUCCUCGAGAUGCUUCAUCCGCGCCUCCUGCCGCUGAGCCACCUCGGCCUGUCGCUGCGCCGCUGCCGUCUGCUGCGCCAAUAGAUCAGUGAGAACCGCAAGCUGGGCCCUCAAGUCACGGACCUCGCUAGAUCCGGAAGUAGCGGAGGUCUCGACCUCCUCGGGGUGUGCCGCAUCAUCCGCCCCGGCAGACUGGGAGCGUGUAAUCGACAUCGUCACUACAAAACAUAAAAGCGCAAGUUAGUAACCCACGCUAUCGCAUCCCCGCUCAAAUAGAUAAAACCCCAAAUCAUGCGAAAGUAAGGAAGUGUCCUUCACUACUAACUCCCGAUGUUACGUUGUCGGCCGCCAACGUAACCCUCCGCGAAGUUAGAAGCCAUACACUCCGAUCGAACUCUAACUUUUUAGAGUUAUCAAGACACCCAAUCAGGAUACUUUCGCUCACAAGUCAAAUAGACCUCGUCUCUCACGAGCCUAUUUCCUAUAGUCCAACCGGCCUAAGGUUUGCUAGGUCCACUAAGACUCAACUCUAGGCUUUGAUACCAAAUUAAUCUGUCACGCCCUGGGACCGGCGGAGGCCCUCCCGGUAGCGUGCCCAGACCCGCCAUAUGUCUACACAUAUAAGGCGUCUACAAUAAAAGCGGAAGUAAAAGCAAGUAAUAGUACAAAUAGAAUAGUAACAACUAAUGAUAUUAGAGCGAGUAAAGUUCUAUCAUCUACACCAAGGUAAAGAAACAAAGCUAGACAAUAAAAGAAACCAUAAGUAGUACACUAUCUGUCUCAAAAGUACAAAAANUAGGCUCUGAUACCAAAUUAAUCUGUCACGCCCCGGGACCGGCGGAGGCCCUCCCGGUAGCGUGCCCAGACCCGCCAUAUGUCUACACAUAUAAGACGUCUACAAUAAAAGCGGAAG